UCAAAUCCCUUACAUUUAAUAUAUUGCGAAGAACUUUAAGUGAUCCAGUUGCAAGCUUAUUUAGUUACGUUGGUGGGAAAAAAAACGUUCCUUCUUUGAUUUGCAUUUAAGAAGUAUUAUAAUUGGUGCUGUACGAAUUUAUUUCCCCGACGCAACUGAACAAAUUAUUUCAGUGCCUGUUAAGUCUUGGUUAAGACAUGCAUCAGAACGUAACGAAAGAAAUGUGAAUAAAAUGAAAAAUGUG
rnacentral:lncRNA from 13 species